rnacentral:rRNA from 1 species
UACGUAGGCAGCGAGCGUUUGUUCGGAAUUACUGGGCGUAAAGAGUGUGUAGGCGGUGCUCUAAGUUCGGUGUGAAAUCUCCCGCUUAACUGGGAGGGUGCGCCGGAAACUGGAGUGCUCGAGCGUGGGAGAGGAAAGCGGAAGUUACCUGGUGUAGCGGUGAAAUGCGUAGAUAUCAGGAGGAACACCUGCGGUGUAGACGGCUUUCUGGACCAUUGCUGACGCUGAGACACGAAAGCGUGGGUAGCAAACAGG